AUGUCUUGUGAUGCGGUGAAAAUAUCCCGAAUCUUGACCGGGAGGCCUGGGUUCAAUUCACAGCGGGUGCAGGAUGAGGCUGUCACUGGCUCGGCCAGCAUUUAUUGCUGCGUUUACCCAGAGGGCAGUUAAGAGUCAACUGCGUUGCUAUAGGUCUGGAGUCCCAUGCAGACCAGACCAGAUCCCAGUGAUUAAUGCCAAAGCCCCAUUGCCUGGGGAGAAGGUGAUGUUUGACUUCCUGUACAGCUGCAGUUCAUGUGGUGAAGGUGCUCCCACAAUGUGGUUGGGGAUCUGCACUGGAACCCUUCUGUUUGCGGGAUAAAUAUAUAUAAGUGACAUGGAUUGAAAUCUAAUUUGCUUUGAUGGAGAUGUGUUGAAAAUGUUUGCAGUUACUGAUCUGCUGAACCAAAAUGACCCCUUUUAAACUGAUGGUUGGACUAGAAACCUUUUAGAAAACUUGAAAAUAUUCGGUAAGGUCACUAAUAACAGAAUGUAUCUAAUUCCACUCAAUCAAUAUUCCUUGGAAAAUAUUUGAAAAUAUUGCAGUCAUAAGGAUGAAAUAUAAGAAGUAAUUAUAUUCAUUGAUUUUGUUUUGUUCUGAAGAGCUUAGUUCGGACAACACAUAGAACUUGAUGCUCCAGUGCUACAAAUAUUAGAAAAUAAUAUUGUUCUUCUUCAGUAAAAUAAACAAAUGCCACUUGCUAUUAUUUAUCAUUUUUUAGUUAUUGAUCUGUUUGUGAAUUGUGUGAAAUGUUUAGUUUUCCACUCACCUAUUUAUGUUGAAUGUAAGAUUGAAAUGCUGUGAAAAUAUCAGGGUGUGUUCGUUUGAAAAUUGACUUUACAUAUUUCUCAAUUACCUCAUUUAUUGCAUGAUGUCUUAAGUGUGUUUUGCUCAGCAAUUCUAGUAAAUAUUUAGAAAUGUCUAAUCUUAAAUAAGAUCCUUCACACCCAAAUAUCAGUCUGUUCCUAAUUCAUGUAAAUACCUUUAUUUUAUUGAAAUCAAUGUUAACACAAAACAUUGCACAUAAAGCAAUACAAAGGUCCUUAUCACCACCUGAUUACUGAGUAAAUACCUUAUUGUUCCUGAGACUAAUAACAACAGUAAGCAUUUGUCUACUAUUCCCUGCAGUAAGUGCAAUUGAUAUCUUAUGUUUCAGUCCAGUCAUCAAUGAUGAUUUAUAUUGUUUCAACCAAUAAUUCUACUUUAUCAUGGACAUUGACUGUAAUUCAAGAACAUUGGGAACAAACGUU